UAGGGUGUCACCCAAAGUCAUGUU
rnacentral:piRNA from 1 species